rnacentral:rRNA from 1 species
GUAAGCGCACGCACGGCGGUCUGUCAAGUCGGAUGUGAAAUCCCCGGGCUCAACCUGGGAACUGCAUUCGAAACUGGCAGGCUAGAGUCUUGUAGAGGGGGGUAGAAUUCCAGGUGUAGCGGUGAAAUGCGUAGAGAUCUGGAGGAAUACCGGUGGCGAAGGCGGCCCCCUGGACAAAGACUGACGCUCAGGUGCGAAAGCGUGGGGAGCAAACAGGAUUAGAUACCCUGGUAGUCCACGCCGUAAACGAUGUCGACUUGGAGGUUGUGCCCUUGAGGCGUGGCUUCCGGAGCUAACGCGUUAAGUCGACCGCCUGGGGAGUACGGCCGCAAGGUUAAAACUCAAAUGAAUUGACGGGGGCCCGCACAAGCGGUGGAGCAUGUGGUUUAAUUCGAUGCAACGCGAAGAACCUUACCUACUCUUGACAUCCAGAGAACUUUGCAGAGAUGGAUUGGUGCCUUCGGGAACUCUGAGACAGGUGCUGCAUGGCUGUCGUCAGCUCGUGUUGUGAAAUGUUGGGUUAAGUCCCGCAACGAGCGCAACCCUUAUCCUUUGUUGCCAGCG